rnacentral:misc_RNA from 1 species
GCGCAACAACUUCCACCUGGCUUACCUUUUCAGUCUUGUGUCAUUGCUUGUAUCGCAUUGAAUGCAUGGUGGGUUUCUUGUGUUGCAUGCCUAAUUGAUGGUAUCAUUUGAAGAAUUGAUGUCCCUUUUCAUCUUGUGUCGCACAUGCGAUGUGAGAUGAACCUUGAAGUAGCCUUUGUGAUCCACUCUUUCGAUGUACACGCAUUGAUUUUGUGGCCCACUGUGCGUUGCUUGGUCUCAUGGAUAUGGAACCUGGUGUGGGCAUGGGAUCUUUACUAGUUCCUUGUUUGCCCUGGUUUAGCUUUUCUAAUACGAUUGUUUAUCACAUUUUAAUGUGGUAGGCUAUAUCGGAUAUGAAUGCUACCUGGUUGAUCCUGCC